AGAGCCUCCAAGAGUGAGGCACCCAGGACCACAGGCACAGACAACAGGAGGCACCGACACUUGCCCCACGGAAAGGUCAACCUCAGCCUAGAGCCAACACCAAGGAGCGAGGCUGUGACCAAAAAUAUUCCAAAGCUGGGGGCAGUGUGUCAAUUACCAAUGGAAAAACCAUCGAGUUCCUCAGCUUCUGAGAGGCUCAGGAGUCACCACUCUGAGAGAAGAGUGAGCCACAGUUGCAGUGGGAGGCACAGCAGCCACGACUCAACUAACCAACAGCAUCAGACCCAGAGGAAAUGCCGGGGGCCAACACUGUAUUCCCAGAAACAAACUCAGCCUUUGUCACAGGAGAGACCGACCAUAAACACCAGAUCAGGGGACCAAGCUAAAUACAAUCAACACAAUCGAUGUGAACAGGAGGCAAUAGGACCGUUGCCUGACAAGAGACCUCGACAUUAUCACCCCCGAAGAUCAGGAUCGAGGAAAAACAAGGGCAGAACUUCGCACAAGAGAAAUUCCAAGAAAAGGUCAAGAGGAAGAGGCCGAAAAUAGGAACAGAGGAAAAGAGCCAUGUGAAAAAAAAAUACACCUCUUAGGGUCUCCUGAUUCCCUUGACCUCUCCUCCCUCCCCACUAAUGAACAAAAAGACUGUGGGGCUGAGGGAAAGUUUGUUUUGACAUAAUUAAAAAGACCCUAAAUCUUC